rnacentral:rRNA from 1 species
UACGUAGGUGGCAAGCGUUGUCCGGAAUUAUUGGGCGUAAAGCGCGCGCAGGCGGGAUAUCAAGUCUAUCUUAAAAGUGCGGGGCUCAACCCCGUGAUGGGAUGGAAACUGGUAUUCUUGAGUGUCGGAGAGGAAAGUGGAAUUCCCAGUGUAGCGGUGAAAUGCGUAGAUAUUGGGAGGAACACCAGUGGCGAAGGCGACUUUCUGGACGAUGUCUGACGCUGAGGCGCGAAAGCCAGGGGAGUGAACGGGAUUAGAUACCCCGGUAAUCCUGGCCGUAAACGAUGGGUACUAGGUGUAGAGGGUAUCGACCCCUUCUGUGCCGGAGUUAACGCAAUAAGUACCCCGCCUGGGGAGUACGGCCGCAAGGUUGAA